GGGAAGGAUGAAUGGAGGAGGCUAGCCAGCGCCAACAUUAAAGGAAUGUGACCUUUGUGCCAUAAAUUAGGGGCUUGGCAGAAAUGGCUUAUUACGCAGCUGGGGGUUUGAAGUGCAGAAUUUGCUGGGCCGGCAGAUUAAUCCCAUUUAUGCUGGGGAAAGUAUUCCAUGACAUUCAAGGAUUUAUUUGUUUGCUAAUCUGCUUCAGACUCUAGAGGCCUGGCUACGAAAGUAGGAAAGGGUCAGAAAGGAGAGGUUAGGAAAAGGAAGCAGAGUUUUCAUUCCUGGUUCUGCAGUAAGUUUUGAUAACCCAACACCCAACGAGGACUUCUAACACUACAUUCUGUAAACACACAGGCAAGCAUGCUUUACUGCUGCUAGUUCAAAGUUAGGGUGGUCAGCCCUUGUUUGAGAGAGAAACAAAUGGAAAAUGUAUUUAGGUUUCUAACAAGCUUUCCUCUUCAUCACUAGGUUUAUCGGGAGCAACCACCAAUGAUUAUUUUAAUUUAGUGCAGCCUUUUCCAAUUUGUAGAACCCCUGCCCCCUAAAUGCAAACAAACAUUUGCUUUCGGUUGCCUUUCCUCCUUUCAAAGCUCUUUUUCAGAGACUAGAACCUUCUCUUGGGUCAAGAGGUCCUUUUGUGUUGUUGCUCAACCGAGCGGACACAACCCUUGACUGAGAACAGAACCUCACCCUGUUGUCCAUUCCCCUGUAGCCGGAGCGUUUGUGUUAAGAGACAGUUAAGCUUUUUUCGGUGAGGCAUUUCCUUCCUUCCCUUCCUCACAGAAAGUUCUGCGUUAUUUUUAGCACCACCCUGGCUCCGGCAUUGCAUCUGUGCACAGGCUCCCUUCACCAUUACGCUAAGCGCACCUUCCCUCCUAGGAACUCCAGGCCUGACACACGUUAGUCAGUUCUCCCUGCACCCCCAUGAGAUGCUGAGCGCGCCAUUCCCAGGGGCAUGUGAUUACCCACAGUCUGUGAUUAGAUAACAUUCUUUGGCCGUCUUCUUCCUCAGUGUGCUCUCCACUGAGUUCACCUUUAGUUGAGUGGGGCUGGCCGGUUAAGUCCAGGGUCAAGGAAUGAACCAAAAGCGAAAGGCAAGAAAGAUGUGCACUGUGGUGACAGAAAGAGACCCCACAGGCCGGGACAGACAACCUCCGCCCAGACAGCUGGACCAGCGCCUGGGAUUCGGAGCUCCUGGGCUAGGCCAAGGUUGCUGGUCUACGAUGCGGAACCGUAACCCGCCCUACCAGGUGAAAAGUACCACUUACCCCAGAAGCCACUGGGAAACCCGUCCCGCUCCUUGGCUGGUGGAACUGGCCUUGGGCUACAGCCGCCCUGUGAGAUGUCUCCAGGUGCAACGGCUUACGCUUUUACCAGGCAUGCUGUUCCUAAACAGAAGCUGCGCGGAGGAAUACAGUGGUGAAGUUUUAAAGGCGAACCCUGGAGAGAAAGGGCCAGACUGACCUCUUGACUGAACCCAGAAAGCCUGUAGAAGCGGUCAGAAUGGCCAAUAUUGUCCUUCAACUCGCAGCCAACAGGCUCUUUUGCAUUUAUUCAAACUCCCCUCAAGUUUCUGAACAAUUCAGGUCAUAUGGAGGGGGCAAAGCACAGAAGGCCACGGAAAUGUCUUCUGUGGAAAUACGCAAAUAAAGGAGGAGGAUGUUGUUUUUAAAUAAAUCUGGCACAGAAGCCACAUGAUUUUCCUUCACUGACCAUGAAAAUUGGGGAUAAAAUUUGUGCGGGUUUUUGGCUUUUCUACACUAAAAUCGAGGAGGAGUUUUAAAAAUGAUAUGAAUUUGAAAUAAAAUGUAAGCAUUUGAUUGAUGAUGGAAUCUUUGUGCUCUGAUUUCCUGAU